rnacentral:rRNA from 1 species
CCUACGGGGGCAGCAGUGGGGAAUAUUGGACAAUGGGGGGAACCCUGAUCCAGCCAUGCCGCGUGUGUGAAGAAGGCCCUCGGGUUGUAAAGCACUUUCAGUGAGGAAGAACGCCUGGUGGUUAAUACCCAUCAGGAAAGACAUCACUCACAGAAGAAGCACCGGCUAACUCCGUGCCAGCAGCCGCGGUAAUACGGAGGGUGCGAGCGUUAAUCGGAAUUACUGGGCGUAAAGCGCGCGUAGGUGGCUUGAUAAGCCGGUUGUGAAAGCCCCGGGCUCAACCUGGGAACGGCAUCCGGAACUGUCAAGCUAGAGUGCAGGAGAGGAAGGUAGAAUUCCCGGUGUAGCGGUGAAAUGCGUAGAGAUCGGGAGGAAUACCAGUGGCGAAGGCGGCCUUCUGGACUGACACUGACACUGAGGUGCGAAAGCGUGGGUAGCAAACAGGAUUAGAUACCCUUGUAGUC